GCAGUCGAACGAUAGUUACCAGCUUGCUGGUAGCGAAAGUGGCGCACGGGUGCGUAACGCGUAUGCAACCUACCUUAAUCAGGGGGAUAGCCCGAAGAAAUUCGGAUUAACACCGCAUAAAAUCACAGUACAGCAUUGUACAAUGAUCAAAUAUUUAUAGGAUUAAGAUGGGCAUGCGUGACAUUAGUUAGUUGGCGGGGUAACGGCCCACCAAGACCACGAUGUCUAGGGGAUCUGAGAGGAUGACCCCCCACACUGGUACUGAGACACGGACCAGACUCCUACGGGAGGCAGCAGUAAGGAAUAUUGGUCAAUGGAGGCAACUCUGAACCAGCCAUGCCGCGUGCAGGAAGACAGCCCUCUGGGUCGUAAACUGCUUUUAUUCGGGAAUAAACCACAUUACGUGUAGUGUGCUGAAUGUACCGAAGGAAUAAGGAUCGGCUAACUCCGUGCCAGCAGCCGCGGUAAUACGGAGGAUCCAAGCGUUAUCCGGAUUUAUUGGGUUUAAAGGGUGCGUAGGCGGCUUUUUAAGUCAGGGGUGAAAGACGGUGGCUCAACCAUCGCAGUGCCCUUGAUACUGAAGAGCUUGAAUGAAUUAGAGGUAGGCGGAAUGUGACAAGUAGCGGUGAAAUGCAUAGAUAUGUCACAGAACACCGAUUGCGAAGGCAGCUUACUAUGAUUUUAUUGACGCUGAGGCACGAAAGCGUGGGGAUCAAACAGGAUUAGAUACCCUGGUAGUCCACGCCCUAAACGAUGAAUACUCGCUGUUAGCGAUACACAGUUAGCGGCUAAGCGAAAGCGUUAAGUAUUCCACCUGGGGAGUACGGUCGCAAGAUUGAAACUCAAAGGAAUUGACGGGGGCCCGCACAAGCGGAGGAGCAUGUGGUUUAAUUCGAUGAUACGCGAGGAACCUUACCCGGGCUUGAAAGUUAGUGAAUCAUUUAGAGAUAGAUGAGUCCGCAAGGACACGAAACUAGGUGCUGCAUGGCUGUCGUCAGCUCGUGCCGUGAGGUGUUGGGUUAAGUCCCGCAACGAGCGCAACCCCUAUGUUUAGUUGCCAGCACGUCAUGGUGGGGACUCUAAACAGACUGCCUGUGCAAACAGAGAGGAAGGAGGGGACGACGUCAAGUCAUCAUGGCCCUUACGUCCGGGGCUACACACGUGCUACAAUGGAUGGUACAGAGGGCAGCAAGCUGGUAACAGCAAGCAAAUCUCCAAAAGCCAUUCACAGUUCGGAUAGAGGUCUGCAACUCGACCUCUUGAAGUUGGAUUCGCUAGUAAUCGUAUAUCAGCAAUGAUACGGUGAAUACGUUCCCGGGCCUUGUACACACCGCCCGUCAAGCCAUGGAAGUUGGGGGUACCUAAAGUAUGUAACCGCAAGG
rnacentral:rRNA from 1 species